rnacentral:rRNA from 1 species
AUACGGAAGGUCCGGGCGUUAUCCGGAUUUAUUGGGUUUAAAGGGAGCGCAGGCGGAGAUGCAAGCGUGACGUCAAAUUUCGGGGCUCAACCCCGUCUCGCGUCGCGAACUGCGUCCCUUGGUUGCGGGAAGGGGAGGCGGAACUCGUGGUGUAGCGGUGAAAUGCAUAGAUAUCACGAAGAACUCCGAGCGCGAAGGCAGCCUUCCGGCCCGUCAACGACGCUCAUGCUCGAAGGUGCGGGUAUCAAACGGGAUUAGAUACCCUGGUAGUCCGCACAGUAAACGAUGGACACCCGCGGUUUGGCCUGUAUGGCUGAGCCGCCAAGCGAAAGCUUUAAGUGUCCCACCUGGGGAGUACGCCGGCAACGGUGAAACUCAAAGGAAUUGACGGGG